rnacentral:sRNA from 1 species
AAAAAAAAAGUACAUACCUAAAUAAAACCCAAGCAGCUCUGCUCUCUUCACUCGGCUUGCGGGUGUCUUUAGUUCACUAGCAAUUUUAUUCUGGAAUGAGCUUUUUAUUUUCCCCCCCUGGUCUCAUCAUUUCUUUUUAUUGCUUUCUCCAGCCCAAGAAUCUAUCAUUUUGAAGCCAAAGAUGGCCUUAGAGGUGGGUGACUACAAAAUCAAUCUCAAGCUCAUGGAUAACCAGAAUAAAGACCAAGUGACCACCUUAGAGGUCAGCGUGUGUGACUGUGAAGGGGCCGCCGGCGUCUGUAGGAAGGCACAGCCUGUCGAAGCAGGAUUGCAAAUUCCUGCCAUUCUGGGGAUUCUUGGAGGAAUUCUUGCUUUGCUAAUUCUGAUUCUGCUGCUCUUGCUGUUUCUUCGGAGGAGAGCGGUGGUCAAAGAGCCCUUACUGCCCCCAGAGGAUGACACCCGGGACAACGUUUAUUACUAUGAUGAAGAAGGAGGCGGAGAAGAGGACCAGGACUUUGACUUGAGCCAGUUGCACAGGGGCCUGGACGCUCGGCCUGAAGUGACUCGUAACGACGUUGCACCAACCCUCAUGAGUGUCCCCCGGUACCUUCCCCGCCCUGCCAAUCCCGAUGAAAUUGGAAAUUUUAUUGAUGAAAAUCUGAAAGCGGCUGAUACUGACCCCACAGCCCCGCCUUAUGAUUCUCUUCUCGUGUUUGACUAUGAAGGAAGCGGUUCCGAAGCUGCUAGUCUGAGCUCCCUGAACUCCUCAGAGUCAGACAAAGACCAGGACUAUGACUACUUGAACGAAUGGGGCAAUCGCUUCAAGAAGCUGGCGGACAUGUACGGAGGUGGCGAGGACGACUAGGGGACUCGAGAGAGGCGGGCCCUAGACCCGUGUGCUGGGAAAUGCAGAAAUCAUGUUGCUGGUGGUUUUUCAGCUCCCUUCCCUU